rnacentral:lncRNA from 1 species
CUUGGCAUUGAUGUUGUUUUUGAAAUUGCUUAAUACGAAGUUCCGCUUAUACACUUCCUGUCCCGGUAAGUACCGGAUCUCUCUCGCCUUUCGAUCAUACUGCUCCUUUGAUCUCUUGUAGGCCUCAUGCGCAUUCUUCCGGAACUCUUUGCGGAUGAUCUCCUGCUGGUCUUGUCUUCCAACAAGUGAUACUUGCGAGUCGUUCAGGGCUCCCAGUCUCCGUGCUAAUUUGUAGUCCCGCCCGCUGGUGAACAUGUGCUGCCCGAACAGCACGAAGUAUGGUGACGUGCUGAUAGCUGUGUGUAUCGCACUCCUGGCCGCACCCUGUAUUUCCGGAAACUUCUCAUCCCAGCGUGUGUGAUCUUAGCUGACAUAAGUCCGGAUUGCUUCGAGAACGGUCUGAUUCACGCGUUCUGCCGCGUUCGCCUGUGGUGCAUAAUACCCAGAUUUCAUGUGAGUUAUUUACUUUUAUUUAUACUUAUUUUGGUCAAGAAUUGUGUAAACUCGGCUGAUACAAACUGCUUUCCGUUGUCUGUGUGUACCAUUUCAGG